rnacentral:lncRNA from 1 species
CAUACGGAGUCUGAAGAUGACCUUACAGAGGAGGUGUAUGAACAAGACAUGGAAGGUAUGUGUUUUGGUGUUACUUAGAACAUGAAUAUCUUAGUGUGGCAGGGUUGCUCCUUACCACACGCCACCUAAGUGGCUUCCUUUGGGGCCCUCCAACACAGGACACGGGUAGAUGGUAGUGCAAGAUGUUUAUUUGAGAUUAAGGCAGAUUGUAUUCGCCGAGCUGAUGGUACAAACUGCCAUGACUGUGGCUCCUCCUCGAGUGUGUGUGUUGAUGGCUGGUUUAUCCUGGGUGCCAUAAUUGCUCUGCACCACCGGUGUGCAGCCCCACCCAGCCAGAGUCCAAUCAGUCUGACUCAGGCCAGGUGAGGCUGUAAACCAGCCAUCAACAACACACACUCCACAUACACCCUCCACACUUAGGUUACAAGCAUAUCUUGCGUUCUGUAUUUUUAAAAAUAUAUCCAUCUUUAAAACUUUGUCCCUGAUCAGGGUAACUAUGUCCUUAAAAAGGCUUAAACGCCUUCAAUCAUAAUCAAUAACACUUUUACUUGCAUGCAAUCCAAAGGUCAAUUAAAGGUUCAAAAGAUAGUGGCACACAUUUCCAUCAUGGGUAGAGAGACAGCAAACACACAAUCAUACUGUGAUCCAAGCACACCUUAUAUUUAUAUACACGUACAACAUCAGCCACAAUUCACUAAAUGUUGCUUGUGUCAUCAAAACAAACUAAUUGAUACAUCCUCAACACUCACACAACUCUCAUACCAGGUUAAACAGACGGCUGCUAUAGCUAUAAACAGUAUAAUAUUGUAGAUAGAGAUUCCACUUUGUGAUUCACAUAUCGGCUGGGAUUCUACAUGAAUUUUGAAGUUUUAAUGAGAACUUGUAAUCAUCUUGUCAUUCAAUAGUUUCUGAUGUCAGUCUGGCACGAAGCAUGGAGCAGAAACGAAGUGGGUCUCCACAAGAAAAUGAAGGGGAGAGUAAUUCCGAUGGAGACGACAUCCCUGUCCAAAAGAAAAAGUCCAAGACCAUUCGCAAGCCACAGAAGAAGAGGCCCUGGGAAACUGAGGAGACAAAUGCCGUUGAAAAGCACAUGAGGAACUUCAUUUUGACCUGCAAUGUUCCAAGAAAGGAAGACUGUGAUAAGUGCCUUAAAUCAGAGCCAGAAGCACUAAAAAAUAGAGACUGGAAGGCACUCAAAUUCUACAUCAAAAAUAGAAUUACUGCACUAAAAAGGAAAAUGUAAAACAUUUCAGUUUUCAUCAGGUACAAUAGAGAGAAAUGGGGGAGAGGGGGACAGGAGAUAGAGUGAGGGGUGGGGGACCAUAGAGAGAAGGAAGGAGGGAGGGAGGGAGGGGGGGGACCAUAGAGAGAAGGGGAGAGGGAGGGAGAGAGAGAGGGGGAGAGAGAGAGGGGGAGAGAGGGAGAGAGGGGGCGAGGGAGGGAGAGAGACCAUAGGGAGAGGGAGGGACCAUAGGGAGGGAGAGAGUGAGGGGGGGACCAUAGGCCUACUGUAUUUGAGUUGACACUCAAUAAAGAGCUUUUAAAGUAUGUUCAGGUGAUCUAAUUCUAAUUCAUGUGUAGAAACCUCAUCUAUCUAUAAAUGGCUGUCUGUCUGUGGCUCGUAUAUCUCUCUGACCAUAUGUCAGAUCGGCCUAAAAUUUCGGAUAUGGCUUGGGCCGAUGGUGUGCAUCCUCAAUUGAAAAAAAAAAAAUCAAAACCUUUUAUGAAAUGAUUUUACAUGCAAGCCCCAAAAGGUGCCAAAUAAACACAGAAGUAAUGCUACUACGCAACGAUUGCGUGCAGGUGUUGUGCUACACGGUGAAUACUUAACCGGCUGGCGAAAACGUCAACGCAUUCCCUUUCAAACAGGUGUUGUAGGCUUUGUGACAGGCUGGCACUGCACUUGACCAAACAGUUACGCUGCGUUCCAUUUGUCUCGUGAAGUCGUCGCCCGAGUUGUACUGACGCGAGAACAUGACGUCACUUGGGUCGUACUAUUAUACAAAAGGUACUGAAUAGAGAAUCAAAUAUAUAUAGCAUAGCAUACAAACCUGUUCUAUAAUGCCUGCACCGUACAUGAUCCAAACUUACUAUCACCCAACUCUAAUUUUAUGACCGUAGGUAGGCCAUAUCACCUUCACGUUUAGACUAGGUCUGUGGCGCAGGUGUCAACUGUUGGUCAACCCACAGUCUGUUUGUGGUGGUUUGUCUGAGAUUAUUGCACCAGAUAGUGGUCCUGUCUAGGGAUGUCAGAACAGCUGUUCCCCAGAAGAAUGAUAUACCUGAGGAGUGUGUUAAGAUGUUCCUCAGAAGAAUAGCAAAUCCUGAGAUGUGUGUUUAGGGUCCCCAGAAGAAUAGCUAUACCUGAGAAGUUCCCACAUAGGAGGUCCUAGUCAGGUCUGAACCCAAGUUAUGAAUAUUGUUAAUUUGAAGUGAUAUUCAUGCUCCUCAAGUGCAUCUAAACAUGCCAGAUUUUUUUCAGAGGUGUAUGAUGUCUAGGAAGGGUGGCUCCCACAAUGUAGGUUCCUGUCAGGUUGUACCACAACGUGACAAAGACAAGCCUGUGUGUGUGUGUGUGUGUGUGUGUGUGUGUGUGUGUGUGUUCGUGCCCGUGUUGAGAAUUAGACCUCCGCUCUCUGUUCAUGGGGCUGCAACACCGUGUCGAAAUGAAGUGAAGCGUUGUCUUUUUGCUCUCCAAAAUUCAUCGUGA